CCUCUGAGUACAGGCGGCGUACACUAGCCGGCUUUGUCCUGUCCGAGCGGCUGACGUACGUCUGUGGAAGAAGCCCUCUACUUUGGGUCCCUGCCUAUGAAAGCCUGGCUUUGUUCUCGCGGCCUGCCAAUCACUCCCCGGGCUGUCGAAGGGGAGGAGAAGGAUGUCCAGGGUUUAAACUUUUUCAAGCGUGGAGGAAAAAAAUGGACAUAUAUGUUUUUUAUCUUGCUUUGAUAAAAAAGAAGCCAGAGGGAAAAGGGAGACUCAUCAACAGGACCCAGGGUUUAGGGAACAAACUGGAAAAUGGCGUUUGCUUGGACUUAGAGGAAUGACGUUUCUGUCGAUACCAAGCAUUCAGGAGAUUCUUCUUGUGAAGCUGACGCCUGAUCUGCACCUUCAAGUUAAAAGUCCCGAACUCGGAUCUGAUGCUGAACUUCAUUGCAGCUCCUUCCGUCUCCCUGCUGCAGCAUUUGACAACCACGAAAAUCCUGAGCACAAACCCCUUAUGAAGUGUCAAACACUUCAUUUCCUGCAUUCAGGUGAACUUCAUGCACCAAUUUUUGGACUUUCCGGCAUCAAUUUAUGCUGGAUGUGUCUGAAUUUAUGUGAAACAAAAGAGGAACCAGGUACCAGUUAUGAACUUCUCAGCCAUUCUGUAUUGCUUUGACAUAUUUAUUUUCCUAUAAAUCAACUUUUCUCAUUUA